UAGUCAUACGCUCGUCUCAAAGAUUAAGCCAUGCAUGUGUAAGUAUAAAUAAUUUUACUUUGAAACUGCGAAUGGCUCAUUAUAUCAGUUAUAGUUUAUUAGAAAUAUUUUACUACUUGGAUAACCGUAGUAAUUCUAGGGCUAAUACAUGAGUAAAACCUCAACUUCGGAAGAGGUGUGUUUAUUAGUAUGAAAACCAUAUAUCUUCGGAUAUAAUAGUGAGUAAUAAUAACCUUUCGUAUCGUAUGUCGUAAGAUAACGAUAGUUCUUUCAAGUUUCUGCCCUAUCAGCUUUCGAUGGUAGUAUAUGGGACUACCAUGGCAGUAACGGGUAACGAAGAAUUUGGGUUCGAUUUCGGAGAGGGAGCCUGAGAGAUGGCUACCACAUCCAAGGAAGGCAGCAGGCGCGUAAAUUACCCAAUCCUGACAUAGGGAGGUAGUGACAAUAAAUCACAAUGCGGAACUUUUA
rnacentral:rRNA from 1 species